rnacentral:misc_RNA from 1 species
GAAAUGUGAUAAGUAAUGUGAAUUGCAGAAUUCAGUGAAUCAUCGAAUCUUUGAACGCACCUUGCGCUCCGUGGUAUUCCGCGGAGCAUGUCUGUUUGAGUGUCAUGAACUCUUCAACCCACCAGUUUCUUGUAGACUGAUUGGUGUUUGGAUUUUGAGCGUUGCUCGUCUUCGGAUGCAGCUCGUUCGUAAUACAUUAGCAUCUCUAAUUCGAACUCGGAUUGACUCAGUGUAAUAGACUAUUCGCUGAGGACACGCUCUCGUAGUGUGGCCGAAUGAGAUCUCAGUAGAAGCUUCCAACUACUUUAGUCAACUUUAGAUUAGACCUCAGAUCAGGCAGGAUUACCCGCUGAACUUAA